rnacentral:rRNA from 1 species
CACCUCUUCCCAUUCCGAACAGAGAAGUUAAGCCCACUUGCGCCGAUGGUACUGCAAUGCAAUGCGGGAGAGUAGGUAGCCGCCUCCU